UGUAGGUCUUCGACAGCGAUACCAACACUGUUACUAACAUUAAACUCUACUAAAUAUUAUUCACUUAUGAUUUUUGUAUAACAAUUGUCGGUCACGUUAAGCAUGAAUGUGGAUGAAAUACGCUUACAAUUAACAUGACAAGCAUGACAAAAACAUUUGCAAUCUGUGUUUGGCGCCAAAUAGAGGUGUGUAGUUGAAUGUCCGGAGCCCCUUUUGCAUCAAAGCAGUUGUUCCUCCUGCUUUACCUUGUCAAGAUCUCAAAGAGCAGCUGUAGGCUAUCAAUCAGAGGUGCGUGUCACACUUUUCCCGCAUACCAAGCAAACAAACCUGAUUUGAACUAAUUUAAUUGUUUAACUGAAGAUCAUGAUUAGUUGAUUAUUGGAGUCAGGUGUGUUGGCUGGGGAAAAAGUGUGACACCAAUCAGACCCCGAGGACUGGAGUUGCCCAGGCCUGGAAGGAAGAAACCUAGAAAGGAACCAGACUCAUAGUGGUGGAAUGCCAUCCAACAGAAUAAUGACUGACUUUUCAAAAUCGACAGUGAUGGAAGAAAUCCCACAUGUUGGAGUUAAUGUGUGCAGCCAUCAUCUGGGUCCAACCAAUCAUAUUACAGAUUAGAUAAGGUCACACGAACGGAACACUUGCCAGCCGGGAAGUGGAAUUGAUCGAAAAAUAUGGGGAUGAAUUUCAUUGGAACUAUGAAAUUGAGCUAUGAAAUAUAUCCCCUGCUGUGAGUAAAUAUUACACUACACCUAAAAACAGAAACUUGAUGGCUUUUACAUCUGAAAGUACUCAUCCCACGUAAUCUGAUUGGCUAUAUGUUAAAUAUUCGCACAGUAAUAUGCACUCCCAGAACAUAUGACUCAACUCUGUCACUACGCUGUAAUGGUUCAUUAUCUGUUAAAUGUUGGGGAAAAUACAGUGGUGUAAAGUACUGAAGUAAAAAUACUUUAAAGUACUACUUAAGUAGUUUUUUGUGGUAUCUGUACUUUACUAUUUAUAUUUUCUACAACUCCUUACUUCACUACAUUCCUAUUGAAAAUAAUGUGCUUUUUACUCCAUACAUUUUUCCUGACACCCAAAAGUACUUGUUACAUUUUGAAUGCUUAUCAGGACAGGAAAAUUGUACAAUUCAUCAAGAGAACGUCCAUGGUCAUCCCUACUGCCGCUGAUCUGGCAGACUCACUAAACACACAUGCUUUGUUUUUAAAUUAUGUUGGAGUG